GCCCACAUCGCAUAAUGGUAUUGCAGCGGAUUGCUAAUCCGCGCCCUUCGGGGCUUCCAGGUUCGAUUCCUGGUGUGGGCG
rnacentral:tRNA from 1 species